GACAGAGGGUGCAAACGUUGUUCGGAAUUACUGGGCGUAAAGCGCGUGUAGGCGGCUAUGUAAGUCGGGCGUGAAAUCCCACGGCUCAACCGUGGAAGUGCACCCGAAACUGCGUAGCUAGAGUCCUGGAGAGGAAGGUGGAAUGCUUGGUGUAGAGGUGAAAUUCGUAGAUAUCAAGCGGAACACCGGUGGCGAAGGCGGCCUUCUGGGCUAUGGCUGACACUGAGGCGCGACAGCGUGGGGAGCAAACAGG
rnacentral:rRNA from 1 species